UACAGAGGGUGCAAGCGUUGUUCGGAAUUAUUGGGCGUAAAGGGAGUGUAGGCUGCUUGUUAAGCCUUCUGUGAAAUCUACGGGCUCAGCCUGUAACGUGCAGAGGAAACUGGCGAGCUUGAGUGUCGGAGAGGAUAGGGGAAUACCCGGUGUAGAGGUGAAAUUCGUAGAGAUCGGGUGGAACACCAGUGGCGAAGGCGCCUAUCUGGCUGACAACUGACGCUGAGACUCGAAAGCAUGGGGAGCAAACAGG
rnacentral:rRNA from 1 species